rnacentral:lncRNA from 1 species
AAAAAAUCCUUCUCUCACCCUACAGAUACCUGUACGGAGAGCUUGGGAGGCUUUUCCAUAGGCUCAUUGUCAAGUGAAAGUUAAGCCCCCACUCACUGGGAAGCGAAGGUAAGUCUGAAAAAUCGCAUUGAAGGAAAAGGAGAGGGGAGGGGGGGUGGGGAUGAAAUCACCUAGCAUUGAAGCAGCCUAACCAAGUGACAGACACGUAGACAACUCUGAUGCUGCCAGAACAACACUCUGCACAGCCCACCAGCAAGCAAUUUGUCACUGCGACAAGAAUAUCCUCCGCAAUUUGGCAUCAGGGUCCUUGGACAGCCAACUGCGCCUGUACAGCACGAGACGUGCUAUGCGGCAACGGGAAAGAUGGGAACCGACGUUCUCGUUAUGUCCAAACGUGUUAUUUUAUGAAAAACAUAUCUUUUGUCAUGAUCAACACAGAGACAGAACAGUAGUAAUUGAUGAUAACUGGGGACAAAUAAGACAACAAAUUGAGAAAAAGUAUGUUCUUGUAUGUUUUUGAGGUACUCUGUGUUGAGAAGAUUUCAGGAUGUUCGCUGUUUGUCUGAUAUUUUAUGGCACACUCCCACAGUGUUUCCUAGAAAUAAUGAAUCCAUAGGUGUAAGAAUGAACUGGAAAGAUUUUUGGUAGUAAACCAGUUGCUUUUAGCAGAACAUACUCUGCUUUGUUUUAGACUUGUAUGUGUGUAUAUUGUGUGUUGAUUAAUACGUGGCUAAGUGCAAACCGUUUCUUACUGGUGUGAUUUGAAAUAAGACAAAGAAUUCAAGGUAAGUUGGGUUAUAAAUGUGCAAAGGAAAGACCCUUUACUCUUUACAUUGCUACUCUGGUAAUCUAUUAUAAAAGUGCAGUAAAGGAGAGAAGCCAGGGGCAUAGGAUAAAGGUAUCCGAUAAAUAAGCAAGUAGUGUUCCUCUUGCCAAUUACUUGGCAUCUUACUUUGUAAUUAAUGCCACAGUAAUGAAAAAAGUGGUAGGCACGAAGAUUGGGCCUUUUGUGCAUUCUAUACAGAACCAAACACUCAUAAAAAUCUAGCUCAAAGCUAGCCUAGUUUGGCUCUCUCCACAAUCAAAACUUGCUAGGGAAUUAGAACAAUCCCAUAGGGUGUGUGUGUGUGUGUGUGUGUGUGUGUGUGUGUGUGUUGCAAUGUAUUAUAUAAGAGUGACAUAAGGCAAUUGUGGUAUUGCUGUCUCUAUAACAGAGACAAGAGUGUCCUUCAUUCCCCAGACAUGAUAGAAACUUGUACCCAUUCUGCCAGUAUCUAACAUCAUGGUAUCUAUUAUGUUGUUCACUAGUUGUGCUAUGAAACACUUUAGCUAACUGCUACUUAAGUGGCUAUGAUAACUGCCUUACAAUGCCUCGUGUAUUUCCCAGUAGCUUAUAUAUUUGUGCUUUAAGGGAACUUUCAGAAAAUACUAAAACUACUUUAAAUGUAAAUAAUAGUGAAAGUGGUAAUACUACAUAGGCACUUUUUAAGAUGGAGGAAAGAAUCUAAUUUAGGCAAUUUUGAUAUCACUUGAAACACAGUACAAAUUUAAAAAAUACUGUUAAUAUUAUAAUCCUUAAAAACAUGAAAAACACAUUUUUCUCUAGCUAUCCAUGUAAACUGGACAUUGGGUGGUUUGGAGUUGGGGGUUGGAGAAAGAGAUGUUUAACUGCGAGACUUGGAUAUGGUGUUAGGGGUGGAGUAUGUUGAGUAGCUAUGUACACAGAUAGCUAAAUGAAAUGACCUUAGAUUUAUAUCCAUUUAGGGGUAGGACAGGGAAAGGGGAGAACAGAGAGGUAUGUGAAGAGAGAAUGUUCGGGGCUAGAGGGUAUAAAAUAUAGUGGAGAUCAUAAGGAAAACUAACCCCUACUUUUCUAAGCUUUGCAUGGGGUGUUUUCCGUGCAACUCCCAUUAAAGUCAAUGGGAAUCAUGCGGCUAAAACCCUAUGUAACUCUUUGACAAUUUACUUCCUAGUGUCUGGAAAAGAGUACUACCUACUAAGGGCAAUUUACUCAUUUUAGUUUGUGCCUUCCAUACAAAGAUGAAUUUGAUAGCAUAUAGCAGGAGGAAAAGAGAGACUGCAUUUAAGAUUUUGUUAUUGCAAAAGAAAUCAUCACUGAAAAAUGUCGUCUAAACUCUCACCUUGUUUAGCAACAACAAUAAACAGAGAAAAGCAAUCCAGUGAAAGAAUAUGAAAAGAAGUAUGGACUUGAUUACAGGAAAAAUGGUGAUUGCUAUAUGAGGGUGUUUUUUUCCCCCAUUUUAAAUUCUCGAGCUCUGAACACAAUCGCAGGAUAAUAAGAAUAGAGGACAAUUCUUAAGACACCAAAUUGAAGCUCUUGAUUACUUGCUUUUUCCCAUGCACCUCAAGUUGUACAUAUGUAAAUAUAGCUAUGGUAGCCUUACAAAAUCUUUAAUAAUACAAAUACAGUGAAGGGGGGUUGUCAUAGUUUCUAGUUAUGGGUAGAAGUAUAGAUAAAAUGACAGAUAUUUAUCUUGCUGUAAGCAAUAACUAAAUAAAUGUAUUGUAUACUCUAUCUAAUAUUAUUUUUGAAAGCUAUAGACUGUGCAUGUUAAAAAGUACAUGCUAUUUAUAAUCUCUUUCAUGAACUUGGAAACAGGAAACUAACACUGGCUUGCAAAGUCUUUAUUUUUAUUAUAGGGCUCUAUAUUUUCUUACUUUCAAGUGAAAUGUCUAUUUAGGUGCUUUACUGAUAUAAUUCUUAUAACUGUACAACCAUAUAAUAAGCUUAUGUGGGCUGAAGAUACAGCUCUUGUGUUUUCUGAGUCCCUUCUCUGUGAUUUGUUUUCUGACUUUUCCUUUGGAGGGUGAAGAAAUAAGAUACUACAUGGCUCUGCUUUUUAGUGCAUGGAUCAGAGACACAUCUAUGAACAACUGCCUACGCAAAUUGAUUACUGGGCAAUAUCAUUUCUCAGUUUUUAUGGGUAAAUGAGUGCUUCUCGUCAUGGACCUAGCUUGUGCAUCAAUUUAGGUAAGCAUACUGCUGCAGCAGCCUUGAAACUAUUGCUCUCUGAUUGUACCAAUUAGCAAAUCCUGAACUUUACCACCAGGAAAAGACAUAGCUCCACAUUUAUGAAUGCCUGGCUUUUGAGAAUUAGAGUAAUUAUGUCACCAA